rnacentral:rRNA from 1 species
UGGGGGUAUUUAAAUGACCCCCCAGGCAGCUUCUGGGAAACCAAAGUUUUUGGGUUCCGGGGGUAGUAUGGUUGCAAAGCUGGAACUUAAAGGAAUUGACGGAAGGGCACCACCAGGAGUGGAGCCUGUGGCUUAAUUUGACUCAACACGGGAAACCUCACCAGGCCCAGACACUAGAAGGAUUGACAGAUUGAGAGCUCUUUCUUGAUUUGGUGGAUGGUGGUGCAUGGCCGUUCUUAGUUGGUGGAGUGAUUUGUCUGGUUAAUUCCGAUAACGAACGAGACUUUAGCCUACUAAAUAGAAGGCGAAUACUGGUAGGUUCGCAUCUUCUUCUUAGAGGGACAAGGCAGCUUCAAGCUGCAUGAGAAAAGGCAAUAACAGGUCUGUGAUGCCCUUAGAUGUUCUGGGCCGCACACGCGCUACAAUAAAAGGCGCAGCGUGUCUUCCUGACUCGAUAGAGUUGGGUAACCCUCACAAUGUCUUUUGUGCUAGGGAUUGGGCUUUGAAAUUAUCGCCCAUGAACGAGGAAUUCCCAGUAAGUGCAAGUCAUAAGCUUGUGCUGACUACGUCCCUGCCCUUUGUACACACCGCCCGUCGCUACUACCGAUUGAAUGAUUUAGUGAGGACUUCGGACUGGUGCUAAUGCGGCCUCACGGUUGCGUUGGUUUACUGGGAAGAUGCCCAAACUGCCUCAUUUAGAGGAAGUAAAAGU